rnacentral:rRNA from 1 species
UGACUUAAGCAUAUCAAUAAGCGGAGGAAAAGAAACUAACGGCGAGUGAAGCGGCAACAGCUCAAAUUUGAAAUCUGGCCCCCUAGGGGGUCCGAGUUGUAAUUUGCAGAGGAUGCUUUUGGCGAGGCGCCGGCCGAGUGCCCUGGAAUGGGACGCCGUAGAGGGUGAGAGCCCCGUACGGCCGGACGUCGAGCCUCUGUAAAGCUCCCUCGACGAGUCGAGUAGUUUGGGAAUGCUGCUCUAAACGGGAGGUAAACCCCUUCUAAAGCUAAAUACCGGCCAGAGACCGAUAGCGCACAAGUAGAGUGAUCGAAAGAUGAAAAGCACUUUGAAAAGAGAGUUAAACAGCACGUGAAAUUGUUGAAAGGGAAGCGCUUGUGGCCAGACUUGCGCCCGGCGGCUCAGCCGUCCCUCGUGGGCGGUGCACUCCGCCGGGCUCAGGCCAGCAUCAGCUCGCUGCUGGGGAGAAAGGCGGUGGGAACGUGGCUCUUCGGAGUGUUAUAGCCCGCCGCCAUGCCCUCCAGCGGGCUGAGGUUCGCGCCUUAGGGCAAGGAUGCUGGCGUAAUGGCCAUCAGCGACCCGUCUUGAAACACGGACCAAGGAGUCGUCCUAGCAUGCGAGUGUUCGGGUGCCAAACCCCUACGCGAAAUGAAAGUGAACGGAGGUGAGAGCUUCGGCGCAUCAUCGACCGAUCCUGAUGUUUUCGGAUGGAUUUGAGUAGGAGCAUGCUGGGCCGGACCCGAAAGAAGGUGAACUAUGCUUGGAUAGGGCAAAGCCAGAGGAAACUCUGGUGGAGGCUCGCAGCGGUUCUGACGUGCAAAUCGAUCGUCAAAUCUGAGCAGGGGGCGAGAAGACUAAUCGACCU